UGUUUUACACUUGCAUAAUUAUGUACUGGAAAGGUCAAUCUGUCUGUACAUGGAAACAAAGUUGAAAAAGAUUGCAUUUUUGGAAUGCUGGUUUGGCGAAGCUAUAUAUAUACGUGGCGUGCACGUUACACGUAUUUCAGGAAAGAGGAGUACUAUCACCUCUUGGCUGAGAAGAUCUACAAGAUCCAGAAGGAGCUGCAGGUGAAGCAACAGAAGAGGAUGUAGGAUUCAGGAGGUACUGAUGCUGCCGCUGGAGGCUUCCCCAUGACGGCAGCAGCGCAGCUGCCCCAGCCUCAACAAUAACUGCCGAGACAAGUACAUCCACUGGGAAAAUGCAGCUCUUUCAACCAACUUAUAUCAGAAUUAUGAUGUACAUAACUACAUGUAUAUGGUCUUAGAGGGUUAUUUUGGUGUCAGUGUUGCUUUGGCUCAGCAAUGAAAAGUGGACUGGUAGAAUGGGGCGUCAGGUUGGCAUUGUGACACUUUCAUCACCUUCCACUUCUGUGAAUUCAGCCCAGGUUAUCAUGUGGAUUUUUCAGUCUUUACUUAACUUUGUGGGUUUUUCUCUAUAAUGUUCAUGUGGAGUUUUUCCUUCCACUUCUAAAACUGAACACUAUCCUCAUAUAUCUGCAGUUGUAAUUUGAAGUUGUAGAUCCUCACAUUUCUCAAGUGGUUACUGGCAGCCCUUUGAAAAACAUCCUGGAGAUUAUUUUGCUACCAUCAAUAAAUAAAGCUGGAAUUUUUAUUGUUAUUGUUGUUGAAAUUACACAGGGGAAAUGUUAUUGUUUAAGGUAGCAGGGCCAGGUUUGUUUCUAAAUGUGGUCAUAAUACAGACUGAUCAUUUGUGGUUCACUCCGUCAAGGAAGUCUGUACACAGGUUAACAUAAAUUUGGUGUGUAAUUUCUACUUACAGUUUUAUUUCAAUUCCAAACAUCUGUAACUUUUUAAGUUAUCACUGAAUAAUCAAGACCUUUUCUUUAUUUGUAGUUUUCUAAAGGUUUUAUUUUACUUCAUAUUUGAACAGUGGUGUCACCCAUAGAUCAUCGUGCAAUUUUAUGACUGCAGAUGAAUUGACUCAGAGUGUGUACAAAAUGCAGAUGUAAAACAAAAAUUGUUCGAUGUAAACAGCAAAUAAAAGUGUAAUGCAAAUGCAAAUUUAUGUUUUGAAACACAUUCCGUAUCUCAGUAUGUAGAAUGAAGAUGUCAGUUGUACUCAUUGUCAGUAAAUGUAACUAACUCAAGCUUAAAAUUGUAUUUCUAAUAGGAGCUUCACUCAUCACUGGGUGCUUCUGAAAAACUUGUAUCUCUUUUUUCCGCACACAACUGUUCUUGCUUAUUGUCUUGAUCAUGUCCUAAACAAAACUUUUGCCACAAAUAAAUUAGAUUGCUAAUUUGAUUGACAAACUAACAGAUAUUUACAUGUAUGUACAUAGGGUCUGCUGCUUGCCAAAGAGAAAACAAAUGAAAUGGGAAGGGGGAGGUUCAACAGCAACUCUUAAACUUCAAGGUCCCUUUUCCUUGAAUGUCUGUAUUUAAACAAGAUAUGCUCUUAUUUUUAUUUUUCUAAAUCCACUUUAGACAAGAGUGCAUGUUGCCAUUAUCUGGCCAUCCGUUUACACAGGUACAAGCUAAUGGUUUCAAACAUCAAGCAUAAGUUGACUUGAUCAACUCGACUGACAUUUAAACAGGUCAGUGGUCUGUUUUUUUUUUUUUCAAGCACACACAAAGUCUGAGAAGUCUGUGGAGGUACACUGUGUGUUGAAUUUGAACUUGGCAGCCGUACAUAUAUGGCCCUGUUGUCACGGUAGUAUAUACCGCUCCAUGGGCAUGUCCCACAUUGUUGAAAAGUAUGAGGUUGUUGUAAGAAAUAUGUGGUACAAAUACUCUUCAAAUGACUCGUGUAAAUCAGUAUUUAUGGUAUUUGGCUCUGUUGGUGGCUGUAUCUUACCUUUUUCAAGAGUUGAAAUUUUUGGCUAAAAAGUAUACCCACCUGCAAGUGGACAAGAGGAAAGGGGUGGAAGAUUUGAGAAGUUAAGUGCUAUUCAUGUUUCUUCAUUUCCACUUAUUUGAUUUCUUUUUCACAAACGGAAGAUUCACCAUCCAAUUUGCCAUACAUGGUUCUGAAAGUCACAGAUUUGAGUCUUAAGAUGGCAACACCUUGUGAUAGAAGAAUAAAAUAGAAAGCUUUAAGGGUUUAGUACUGAACAGGUCCAGUCUCCCUCGGGAAACUUCUUAAAGCCUUUGGUCUAUGCAUUUUGUAUUCCAAAAUGGUCCACCAAUCAAAAAUGGGCUUGUAUGAUGUGUCAAACUUACGUAAAAUAAAUACAAGCCCUUUGCCUUGUAGACAUUUUGGAGAAAUAUGGGUUAGAGAGUACAUAUUGGAUCUUGUAUGGCCUGUUCUAUGCCACUCAAGGUCAAUACACUUGAGGCAAACCAUCAGAAUUUGUGUGCACAAAUGAUUUUUAAGUCUAGAGUAGUAUUCCGUGUAAUGUUUGUUAUUUCUGUAAUCAGUGUAAUAGUCUGAGGAUUUUAAUUGAAUGAAAUAAAAUAUGUGGCCUGAGACAUUAA
rnacentral:lncRNA from 1 species